GAAACCAACAGGGAUUGCCCUAGUAACGGCGAGUGAAGCGGCAACAGCUCAAAUUUGAAAUCUGGCGCAAGCCCGAGUUGUAAUUUGUAGAGGAUGCUUCAGGGCAGCGGCCGGUCUAAGUUCCUUGGAACAGGACGUCGUAGAGGGUGAGAAUCCCGUAUGCGACCGGUUGGCACCCGUCACGUAGCUCCUUCGACGAGUCGAGUUGUUUGGGAAUGCAGCUCUAAAUGGGAGGUAAAUUUCUUCUAAAGCUAAAUACCGGCCAGAGACCGAUAGCGCACAAGUAGAGUGAUCGAAAGAUGAAAAGCACUUUGGAAAGAGAGUUAAAAAGCACGUGAAAUUGUUGAAAGGGAAGCGCAUGCAACCAGACUUGUCGGCGGUGUUCCGCCGGUCUUCUGACCGGUCUAUUCGCCGCCGGCAGGCCAGCAUCAUCUGGGCGCGCCGGAUAAAGGCGUGGGGAAUGUAGCUCCUCGGAGUGUUAUAGCCCCGCGCACAAUACGGCGCCGCCCGGGUGAGGUCCGCGCUUCGGCUAGGAUGCUGGCGUAAUGGUUGUCUGCGGCCCGUCUUGAAACACGGACCAAGGAGUCUAACAUCUAUGCGAGUGUUCGGGUGUCAAACCCCUACGCGUAAUGAAAGUGAACGGAGGUGGGAAGCGCAAGCUGCACCAUCGACCGAUCCUGAUGUCUUCGGAUGGAUUUGAGUAAGAGCAUAGCUGUUGGGACCCGAAAGAUGGUGAACUAUGCCUGAAUAGGGUGAAGCCAGAGGAAACUCUGGUGGAGGCUCGCAGCGGUUCUGACGUGCAAAUCGAUCGUCAAAUUUGGGUAUAGGGGCGAAAGACUAAUCGA
rnacentral:rRNA from 1 species